rnacentral:rRNA from 1 species
AAGCCUACGGGACGCAGCAGUGAGGAAUAUUGGUCAAUGGGCGGAAGCCUGAACCAGCCAAGUCGCGUGAGGGAAUAAGGCCCUACGGGUCGUAAACCUCUUGCCGGGGAGCAAGGGCCGGGACGCGUCCCGGCCCGGAGAGUACCCGGAGAAAAAGCAUCGGCUAACUCCGUGCCAGCAGCCGCGGUAAUACGGAGGAUGCGAUCGUUAUCCGGAUCUAUUUGUUUUAAAGUGUGCGUAG